rnacentral:lncRNA from 1 species
UACAAAUAAGAUGGAGAGGAGCAGGUGCAUACAUUUUUAGCUGUUGCUCUUGGUCUUGGAAGAAUGAAGCUUAAGUUUUUGUGAAACUAAGUUUGGUUGAUUUAUUUGGGUGCUAUUCCAUCAACUAUAUUUGUUGAAUAGAAGAUGGGAUCUUUAAAAUUUUGCUUAAGAAUCAGGAUCCAUAGUCUUUUUUGUUUGUUUUGGUUUUUUUUAAGACGGAGUUUUGCCCUUGUUGCCCAGGCUGGAGUGCAGUGGUGCAAUCUUGGCUCACUGCAGCCUGCGCCUCCUGGGUUCAAGCGAUUCUCCUGCCUCAGCCUCCUGAGUAGCUGGAUUACCGGCACACGCCACCACGCCCAGCUAAUUUUUUGUGUUUUUAGUGGAGAUGAGGUUUCAUAAUGUUGGCCAGGCUGGUCUUGAACUCCUGACUUCAGGUGAUCUACCUGCCUCGGCCUCCCAAAGUGCAGGGAUUACAGGCAUGAGCCACCGCGCGGCCCAGGAUCCAUAGUUUUAACAUGGUGGACUUAGUUAUGUUUAUCGAAUAGGGUGAUGGUAGAGAUCUUGGGGUACUGGUAAAGUUCAAUAUUACCCUUUCAGGGUUUAGGUUUCCACAUUCCUUUCUUACGCCAAAUCAUGUAUUGUCUCAUUUGAAACUCAAUAAUCCUGUAAGUAGUAUUCUUUUAGCUUUACAGAUAAGGAAAUUUAUUUAUAGAUUGAUUGUUGUUGGGUUUUGUUUUAUUUUGUUUUCUUCCAGACAGAGUCUUACUCUGUUGCCCAGGCUGGUCCCGAACCCCUGAGCUCAGGCGUUGAGUUGCUGGCCUCAGCCUCCCAAAGUACUGGGAUUUGAUUAUUAAAUCCCAGGUUUUAGAAUCUAAGUUAAAGAUUAUCAAUAAAUAGAUAGCAGUGAAUAAUUUUUUUUUUCCUUUUAGGGGCUUAAAGUACUUAAAUCUCUGUUGAACAGUGGAUACCACCAGUUAUAAUUACUUUGGGAGAUGGUGAUUUGAGUCUCUUAAUCUGUGAAAUAUUAGAAAAGUCUUGGCUAGGCACAGUGGCUCAUUCUGGG